rnacentral:rRNA from 1 species
AGGAUGAACGCUGGCGGCGUGCCUAACACAUGCAAGUCGAACGUCCUGUCUCGCAAGAGGCAGGGAGUGGCGGACGGGUGAGUACCACGUGGGUCAUCUACCGUGAGGUGAGGAAUACCGGCGAGAAAUCGCCGACAAGACCGCAUAGCCUCGGUGCAAGUCGAGGAAAGCUCUCUCGAGAGAGGGAGCGCCACACGAGGAGCCUGCGCCCGAUUAGCUAGCUGGUGGAGUAAUGGUUCACCAGGGCGACGAUCGGUAGCUGGUCUGAGAGGACGAUCAGCCACACUGGGAUUGAGAACGGCCCAGACUCCUACGGGGGCAGCAGUGAGGAAUUUUCCGCAAUGGGCGAAAGCCUGACGGAGCGACGCCGCGUGUGGAAGAAGGCCUUCGGUCGUAACCACUGUCGAAGGGGACUAUACUGAAGGUACCCUUGGAGGAAGCCCGGCUAACUACGUCGCCAGCAGCCGC